ACGGUACCUCAGGAAUAAGAGACGGCUAACUACGUGCCAGCAGCCGCGGUAAUACGUAGGUCUCAAGCGUUAUCCGGAAUUACUGGGCGUAAAGCGUCUGUAGCCGGAUAUAUAAGUCUGUCUUUAAAUAUCCCGAUUCAAUCGGGAGAAAGGGAUAGAUACUGUAUAUCUAGAGGAUUUUAGGGGUUAGUGGAAUUUCCGGUGGAGCGGUGAAAUGUGUUGAUAUCGGAAGGAAUGCCGAAAGCGAAAGCAGCUAACUAUAAAAUAUCUGACGGUCAGAGACGAAAGCUUGGGGAGCGAACGGGAUUAGAUACCCCGGUAGUCCAAGCCGUAAAUGAUGCUUGCUAGGUGUUUGAUUCGCGUAAGCGGAUUGAGUGCUGUACCUAACGGAUUAAGCAAGCCGCCUGGGAAGUAUACUCGCAAGAGUGAAACUCAAAGGGAUAGGCGGGGGAACACACAAGCAGUGGAUUAUCUAGAUUAAUUGGAUAAUAAGCCAAGAAUCUUACCUAGGCUUGACAUAUGUUGUGUCACCCAGGAAACUGGGUUAUUCGUAGCAAU
rnacentral:rRNA from 1 species